rnacentral:rRNA from 1 species
AUGCAGCUCAACCAAUCCGUCCAUUGUUUCCCGUGCACGUACGCACCGCACGGCACAGCACAGCACGAACGACCGCAAGCCGUUCCGUUCCGUUCGGGCGUCGCCAUCAGUCAGUCAAAAUCAGCGCCCAUUCAGCACAGAAAUUCAGCAGAUUCAGCACAGAAAUUUGCUGUCGUCGUAGGUACUGUAGUACGGCUACCAAUCAACGAAGGUGACGCACGCCGCUUGUCACCGCGCGCUCGUCUUCUUCCUCGGCGCCUUUCCGCCGGAUUUCGGAUUUGGCAACACUCGCGGCCGGCGCCAGAGGAACCGACAACCCAAUUCCGUUGCGGCAGGCAAGAGUCCAGACUAUCUUGUCACAUCGGCUUGUCCGCGUCUGCUUGGCACCGCGCUUCCUCUUGGGAUCAAUGGCAGCGGCUUGGAGCUGGAAUUCAAGGGAUGAUGUUCUGA